UACGUAGGGUGCGAGCGUUGUCCGGAAUUACUGGGCGUAAAGAGCUCGUAGGCGGCUUGUCGCGUCGAAUGUGAAAUCCUGCGGCUCAACUGCAGGCUUGCAUUCGAUACGGGCAGGCUAGAGUUCGGUAGGGGAGACUGGAAUUCCUGGUGUAGCGGUGAAAUGCGCAGAUAUCAGGAGGAACACCGGUGGCGAAGGCGGGUCUCUGGGCCGAUACUGACGCUGAGGAGCGAAAGCGUGGGGAGCGAACAGG
rnacentral:rRNA from 1 species